rfam:Smittium mucronatum strain ALG-7-W6 scaffold-9442, whole genome shotgun sequence.
UGUAAGAUUUUUCUAAAAAUCACCAAUUUUUUAAAGUAAAUACCAG